UAUCCCUACGGGAGGCAGCAGUGAGGAAUAUUGGUCAAUGGGCGAGAGCCUGAACCAGCCAAGUCGCGUGAGGGAAGACGGUCCUAUGGAUUGUAAACCUCUUUUGUCGGGGAGCAAAAAGGCCUCGUGAGGCCACAAGCGAGAGUAACCGAAGAAAAAGCAUCGGCUAACUCCGUGCCAGCAGCCGCGGUAAUACGGAGGAUGCGAGGGUUAUCCGGAUUUAUUGGGUUUAAAGGGUGCGUAGGCGGACCGGAAAGUCAGCGGAAAAAUCG
rnacentral:rRNA from 1 species